GACGAACGCUGGCGGCGUGCUUAACACAUGCAAGUCGAACGGAAAGGCCCUGCUUGCAGGGUGCUCGAGUGGCGAACGGGUGAGUAACACGUGGGUGAUCUGCCCCUUACUUUGGGAUAAGCCUGGGAAACUGGGCCUAAUACUGGAUAGGACCAUGCUGUAGGUGGUGUGGUGGAAAGAUUAGUUUCGGUAAGGGAUGAGCGCGCGGCCGAUCAGCUUGUUGGUGGGGUAAUGGCCUACCAAGGCGUCGACGGGUAGCCGGCCUGAGAGGGUGGACGGCCACAUUGGGACUGAGAUACGGCCCAGACUCCUACGGGAGGCAGCAGUGGGGAAUAGUGCACAAUGGGCGCAAGCCUGAUGCAGCGACGCCGCGUGGGGGAUGAAGGCCUUCGGGUUGUAAACUCCUUUCAGCCAUGACGAAGCCCUUGUGGUGACGGUAGUGGUAGAAGAAGCACCGGCUAACUACGUG
rnacentral:rRNA from 1 species